rnacentral:rRNA from 1 species
UGGGGAAUAUUGGACAAUGGGGGCAACCCUGAUCCAGCCAUGCCGCGUGUGUGAAGAAGGCCUUUUGGUUGUAAAGCACUUUAAGCAGUGAAGAAGACUCCAUGGUUAAUACCCAUGGACGAUGACAUUAGCUGCAGAAUAAGCACCGGCUAACUCUGUGCCAGCAGCCGCGGUAAUACAGAGGGUGCAAGCGUUAAUCGGAAUUACUGGGCGUAAAGCGAGCGUAGGUGGCUUGAUAAGUCAGAUGUGAAAGCCCCGGGCUUAACCUGGGAACGGUAUCUGAUACUGUUAGGCUAGAGUAGGCGAGAGGAAGGUAGAAUUCCAGGUGUAGCGGUGAAAUGCGUAGAGAUCUGGAGGAAUACCGAUGGCGAAGGCAGCCUUCUGGCAUCAUACUGACACUGAGGUUCGAAAGCGUGGGUAGCAAACA